rnacentral:lncRNA from 10 species
CCCAGCAAGGCCCUGGGCACUCGGCAAUGACCGCACAGACCUCAGCCACCCCAGCCUCACUUUCUGCCGGUGGAGACAGACCUCAAACAAGGCGAGCGAGCUAGUAUUAGAGGAAUGUGCUCAGGGGAAGGUGCAGUUUCAGGCCCAGGGAGCAGACCCGAAGAAGAACGCCCAGGCGCCAGCGAGCGCAAGGGCCCUGGGGCAAGAGUGUGGCCGGCGUGUUUGCAGAGUACAUGGGAAGUGCGUGUGGCUGUGGUGGAGUGAGAGGUGGCGAGUGGUAGGAAAUGAGCUCAGGGAGGCACAGGGACUGGAGGGCGCCAGGGCUUCAGAGGUUUUGGCAGGGACUCAUGUUUGGCCGGGUGACCCAGGAGCCCUUGGCGGGCUGUGGACAGAGGAGGGCUUGGUGCAGCUCAUGCCUGUGCUGGAUUCCUCCAGCCGCUAGGUCGAGAUGAAUGGGAAGGCACAGCACGCGUGGAAGCACGGGGCCAGGUGGGAGCUGCCCCAGCCAUCCACGGAGGCCAUUUGGUGUGGCUGGAACCUGCUAGUCUCAGAGGGCAGGUCUCACAGGCCUUCUUCACAGGUUGGCUGUGGGGUGUUGGGGAAGGGGAGGAGUCAAAGAGGACCCCCACUUUGGCUGCAGGAGAUGGGGCUGGCUGCAGGACAGCAGCCGCAGGGAGGACUGGGGACUCAGCCUGGGGCAGGGGCAUGUUGAGGAUGCCCAUUAGACAUCCCAGUGAAGGUAUGGAGAGGAUUUUUGGAUGGCAGUGUUCGGGGUUCAAGGCAGAGGUCCUGGCUGCCAACAUAAAUUCAGGACUCAUCAGAGCAUGAGUGGAAUUUACAGCCAUGGACAGGAUGAGAUCACCAAGAGUGAUCCCAGAUACUUGUCACUGUCUCUUCUCAAUUAAUGGCAGCUUCUUUGGGGGCAGGACCACUUUUUGCUUUCUCUAUGCUCUUGGCCCCAGCCCGGCGCCGGGCAGGGACUGAGGAGGCCCCUGGCCCCAGCUAGCGUGAUGAAUGACUGGCUCUGGAGACUAGUAGGUCAAAAAGUAAUUGGGUCUCAGCUCGCUGCGGAACAUCACAGCCAGACACCUCGCCUCGCACCCUCUCGUACCUCCGCUUCCAGGCCAUUCACCUCCCCAUUGGACCCAAACCACCUUUAUCACCAGAACUGACACUAAGGAAGGGAGCCAUGUGAGGUGAAGCAGCUGGGUCUCAGAGACGCCGAGCCACUUGCCCAGAGAAACACAGCAAGUAAAAAAACAGAGGCAUCACAGCAAAACUUUAUCCAGCACUCCCUCUGUCCCCAGUGUGUACUAAUCCAUUCAUUCAUCACGUCCAUCUUUAAAGCGGGCUACUGCGAGCGCUGCAGGGUAAGAACCACGUGAUGACCAGCCCGUAUGAUGAUUCCCAUGUGCAGGUGAGGAAACUGAGGCACAGGAUGUGCAACUAGCUCUCCCAAAGCCAUGUAGCCAACAAGCCAUCGCACUCAGCAGCCUGAGGGCUCAGGGUGCAGGGAAUUCAUGCUGUGGCCUCCACCACCUCCAUCCCCUCCCUUCCUGAGGUCAGUUGGGCAAAGGCGCAGGGGAUGCUGCAGAGGUCACUCUCCCUCAAGGCUUCAACACACCCCCUCACCCUGAGCAGCUGCCCAAGAGGAGACUUGGGGGCAACGCUUUGCUGCAGGAAGGUGGACACUGUUCACCCAGCCCCAGAGUGUCCUCUGUCUGUGCUGCAGAUGGACAAUACACCUAGAGAGUGUGUCAGAUGGUGAUAAGGGCUCAGGAGAAAACCAAAGCUAGGGAGGGGAGGGGGCCAGUCCAUGCGGUAUGGACAAUUUAAAGCAGGGACCAGCCAAGUGCGGUGGCUCACACUUGUAAUCCCAGCACUUUGGGAGGCCGAGGCAGGAGGAUCAGUUGAGCUCAGGAGUUUGAGACCAGCCUGGGAAACAUCACAAGAACCUGUCUCUAGAAAAAAUUGAAAACUUAGCCAGGCAUGGUGGUGCACGUCUCUAGUCCCAGCUACCUGGGAGUCUGAGGUAGGAGGACUGCUUGAGCCCAGGAGGUCAAGGCUGCAGUGAGCCAAGAUGGUUCCACUGCACUCCAGCCUGAGCGAUAGAGCGAGACCCUGUCUCAAAAAAGAAAGAAAGAAAGUAGGCGGUCAAGGGAGGUCAGGCCCUAGAGGAGAUGAAUUGUUCAAUUCAGGGUCUCGGGAGUUCCCUUUAGGAUUCUCCUUCCCUCAUCCGCUCUCCCGUCAACACCAGAGCUAGGGUCCAUCUCCGAGGUGCAUCCUUUGUCCCACACAGCUCAGGCCACCUUUCACUCUCAGCCUCCCACCUGCAGCACCUCCUGGAGGGCUCCCUCCCUUCGUGACGGAUGCUCAGACGCGAUUUCCCACUUCCCAGCUUGAGACUCUUCCAGAGCAACUCGCCUCCUGUAGGACACAGAUAAAAGUCAUCCCCUCGGCCGGGCGCGGUGGCUCAUGUCUGUAAUCCCAGCAAUUUGGGAGGCCAAGCUGGGCAGAUCACCUGAGGUCGGGAGUUCAAGACCAGCCUAACCAACAUGGAGAAACCCCGUCUCUACUAAAAGUAUAAAAUUAGCCGGGCAUGGUGGCGCAUGCCUCUAAUCGCAGCUACUAAGGAGGCUAAGGCAGGAGAAUCAGUUGAACCCCGGAAGGCGGAGGUUGCGGUGAGCCGAGAUCGCCCCAUUGUGCUCCAGCCUGGGCAACAACAACGAAACUCCAUCAAAAAAAAGAAAGAAGGAAAGAAGGAAAGAAGGAAAGAAAGAAAGAAGGAAGGAAGGAAAGAAAGAAAGAAAAAGAAAGAAAGAAAGAAAGAAAGAAAGAAAGAAAGAAAGAAAGAAAGAGAGAGAG